CCCUCGUAACAGGCAGGCAGCCCAUUCUUUUUCGUCACCGCCAUGAAAUGUUUCCAACCCCAAGCAAGUUGUCUGGCAUGACACUCCCAAGAUGUAGCAGUACAUACUGUCUGCUAUUAUCAUCUGGCGCGAUAGCAGUCUGGGUCAAUUUCUCUUUGGUGGCUUUUGUUUCUUGAGUAGCCUCGUUGUAUUCUUUUUCUUCACUGAAGUAUGUUAGCGGACCCUUCACAGCGCCAGUUUUGUCAUACUGUGUCAAAAUGCGCAAAUUUUGUCAUAUGUAACAAUGUAUCAUCUACUGUUAUGUCAACAUAUCUCGUUUGUCUAUGCCUUUGUGCUGUGUGUACGUGAGCAAACGAUAGAACAUCAAGGGUGAAACCUGUACAAUACAAUCGUUGGUGGACAAGUAUUAAAUCAUUGAAUCGCAGCCGACUGUACCUAAAAAUUACCAGUUGGGAUUUUUGUUGACGAUCAUAUCCUCCUUUUUUCAUUCACAGGUCGCAUCUCAAUAAUUUGGUAGCUUGGUCAUCCAUGGUGAUUGAGCGGCGUAAGGAAAUGUGCAAUGAAAUAUGGUGUUGGAUUGAAUGACGUAAGGCUAGCACGAUCACAAACGGACAUUUGUCCUGUUCGCAUUUUGUUCGUUUGGGCCGGGCAAAAGGGCAGCGUCCAGCCUUUUUUACAUUUGUGUUGGCCGUGCUCCCAAUGGAUGACUAGAAUUUUGGCACCGUGGUUAUAGUUCAUGCCGACCAGAUCGUUAGCGGCCGGCACACAUGCCAGCCUACAAAAUGAUCAACCCCCAAGUUUUUAGGCCGAUAACAAAGCGAGCGGCUAGUUUUCACGCUGGCAAUGAAGCCAACGGUCGGCACACUUGCCAGCCUUCCAAAAAGGCCAUAGUUCAUGUCUCGCAGCCUUCCUAGGUCAUGCCGUCUUGGUCGAACAUCUCCUUUUGCCUUUUCUCAAACCAACUUCUCUAAGGAGACAUGUUGGUCAAGUCCACGGUCAUGAUGGCUAGCCCACCUCUUUUGCUUUGGUGUCGGCAUUGGUGGCCUCGAUGAUCGUGAGCUUCUUCGCUUGGACGGCUUCCUUCAUGUCGAGCUUACUCCUCUUGACUGCCUCUCCCAUGUCGAGCUAUUUUGUUUGGAGCUCCAUGUAUAUCCUCAUUUGCUCCUCCUUUUCUUGGCGCUUCCUCUCGUCCCUUACUUUCUUUUGGGUCAUCAUGCCUUGCAAAGUUUCUUGCAAGGCGAAAGGGGUCGCAUCACGCUUCUCGUCCACCUUCAAGUUGGUCUUGCCCCUCGGCCUCUUCACUCCAUCUUCAUCCCCAACCCCGGGCGCCGACCCUCCAUUCUUCUUUAGAGCUGCAUAUUGAUCUUUGAACUUGGGGCGAUCUUUGAUGAGCGUCAACAAUGGGUGAGGGUGAAUGGCUUCUUGGAAUGUCGGGCGUUGGAGGCUUCCAAAGUUUGGAAUGCCUACACAAUCAAAGCGAAGGCCAUAAUGUAAUAUUAACGACACAUAAUGCAAGAAACAUGCACCAACCAUGAUCAUGGCAUAGGAACGAAGAGAAGAAGUUCAUACCAAGUCACUCACGCCUAGGGCACUCACGGGACGGGCUUCAACGCUCUCAAGCGCAACACAGAACUUGUUGCAUUCUUGUUGAAUAAACCCCCAUCUCUUUUGGAUUGAGUUGAUGCCACAGGUGCUCGCAAACUUGUAGGGCCGAAACUUCCUACGUUCAUGAAAGGUUGUAUGAACUCUUUCCCAAAAUAUGACACCCUUUUGCUCUACCCCGGUCUUGGAAUCUUGCCCGAUCUCCUUUCAACUCUCGCAAAUCAAUGUGUCCUCAUCUUUGGUGUACGAUCCCGUGCGUAUGCUUUGCUUCCUCCUUUGUGCAUUGGCUCUUUGGGUGAGCUCAUCGAUAAAUAAAGGCUCCUCCUCAAUGUCGACACCCUAUUCUUCCUCUUCGCAAUAGAUGUCUUCAUGCCAUGAGUUGCCAUGGUCGUCGGCCUCUUCUUCUUCGUGGCCACCAAAGUGUUCGACACCAUCUUGGCUUUGGGUCUCACCGGGAUCGAAGCCUUGGCCUUGGCCGUCGGGGUGGAAGGCUUGGCCACGACCAUCGUAGAUGAUGCUCUCCAUGAAUUCGUUGAAGUCGGGGACGUCGGCCGCUGGGCGUCGGGUUGGGCGUUCCGUCGAAUAGGUUGCGGGCGUCAGGAAGGGAGGGGCAGCCACCAAGGAGGGAAAGGCCCUCUUUGGGUUGCCGGUCAAGGGGGAGGAGACUAGUCCAAUCCCCCCCCCCCACACACACACACAAGGAAAGGGGGGGCGUCACUACCUAUUGGGCCAUGGUUGCCCAAUACUCCUUCCACCACUUGGCCUUUUAAGGCCCGUUGAUUUAAAUUACUAAAUAUGAAAGCCUUCUAGCAAUUAUUAGAGGCUUUUAUUAUUAAUUUAACAAAACCGGAAACAAUUUUCACCUCUAUAUUAUUUAUCGGUAAUACUCGGUAUUAUCCGAUAAUCUCUGAAACCCUUCUAGUGACCCCGAAACGCUUUCGAUUCCUCUCAAAACUAUUUUGAAUAUUAAUGAAACAAUUCCGCAAAUAAAUCGUUGAUACUCUCAUCCUACUAACACUUAGUAGAUCAUGAUUACCUUAAGAUUGUGACCCCGUAGGUUCGGUAAAUCAUAGUCAUGAACGAAACCACUUCGUUCAAUGACCGAUAGCGAAACCGUGGACGUUCAUAUCGAUCCCUAUGAUUGCACGAAUGACAUUAGAAUGAACCUUUGGUUAUCAUGUGAUAUUGCCUUUGCUUUGCGAUACUUUACAAAACCCGAGGUGUGCUGGUAUCCUUCUGAGUCAUGCACAUGCUCACUAUAUCAUCAUUCUUGUUACCGGUUUUGUUCUUCUUUCUCGUUGAAAUGUUCCGGCAUCCCCGUGAUGUAGUCACCUGUAUAUGGACAGACGAUGAUUGAUGCCGUCACAUCGAGAGGGCCCUAAAAAUAUCUCUCCAUCAUUGGAGGAGCAAAUCCCACUCUCGAGCUAUCAAGCCCCUUGUCAAACUUUUUAAUGAACUUGUAAGUUGUCGUUAUGAUCAGCGUGUUACAGAUGAUGUUUGAGCAACCCCAAAGUUCACCUAUGGUAAGAAGUGACUACAAUACUCUCAUGGUCCGAGGAACUAAAAACACAUUCUAACACUCCUUGUUAUAACAAUUGAUUUCAGACGAUAUUAUCUCAAAGUAUAACAAACAAGUUUGGGUCGAUUCAAUAUGAUCGUUCUUCUAACGUCAUACUCUCAAUGUUUGUUUUAGAACUAUCGUUACACUUAACGACAUCCUUAGAUCCGGAAAACAUGAUCACCAACAACACUUGAGCCGAUCUUAGAGGCAAGACUAGGAACUUAUACUUUACCGUUUAUCAUUUCACACGUGCAUAUGAGUUUUCCACCGAAUCAUAUAUUUCAGGAUCAUAGCAGUUAUAGCAUGAAAUAUCAACUCUUUAAUUAUAAAAAUGGAAAUACAAUAAUACAUUAUUAUUGCCUUUAGGGCAUAUUUCGAACACUCAACUCAUACCGUCCCUAUCCCUGGCCGUAGGAUAUAGAAGGCAACCACCAUGGAGCUAGGGUUGUGCGAACCCAUGCCCUGGCCCGCUCAGCCAUGCAAUUUUUCGUAAGAUAUACCUACUAUUGGGCAUUUCUUAUUCGGCACUCGUUGUGCCCGUUAAUGUGUGAACCGCAAACCGGUGCGCACACCCUUCACACUGGGCCGACCCAUUUUAGUUUUCUUUUUCUUCGUUAAAAACCAAAAAAACAA
rnacentral:lncRNA from 1 species